rnacentral:rRNA from 1 species
AGAGUUUGAUCCUGGCUCAGGAUGAACGCUGGCGGCGUGCUUAACACAUGCAAGUCGAACGAAGAUAUUAAGAAUGAGAGCUUCGGCAGGAAUUUUUUCUAUCUUAGUGGCGGACGGGUGAGUAACGUGUGGGCAACCUGCCCUGCACUGGGGAAUAAUCAUUGGAAACGAUGACUAAUACCGCAUACGGUUCCUGGGAGGCAUCUUUCGGGAAAGAAAGGAUUUAUUCGGUGCAGGAUGGGCCCGCAUCUGAUUAGCUAGUUGGUGAGAUAACAGCCCACCAAGGCGACGAUCAGUAGCCGACCUGAGAGGGUGACCGGCCACAUUGGGACUGAGACACGGCCCAAACUCCUACGGGAGGCAGCAGUGGGGAAUAUUGCACAAUGGGCGAAAGCCUGAUGCAGCAACGCCGCGUGAAGGAAGAAGGGUUUCGGCUCGUAAACUUCUAUCAACAGGGACGAAAGAAAUGACGGUACCUGAAUAAGAAGCCCCGGCUAACUACGUGCCAGCAGCCGCGGUAAUGCGUAGGGGGCAAGCGUUAUCCGGAAUUACUGGGUGUAAAGGGUGAGUAGGCGGCAUGGUAAGCCAGAUGUGAAAGCCUUGGGCUUAACCCGAGGAUUGCAUUUGGAACUAUCAAGCUAGAGUACAGGAGAGGAAAGCGGAAUUCCUAGUGUAGCGGUGAAAUGCGUAGAUAUUAGGAAGAACACCAGUGGCGAAGGCGGCUUUCUGGACUGAAACUGACGCUGAGGCACGAAAGCGUGGGGAGCGAACAAGGAUUAGAUACCCUGGUAAGUCCACGCCGUAAACCGAAUGAGUGCUAGGUGUCGGGGGAAGGGAAUCCCCGGUGCCGCAGCUAACGCAAUAAAGCACUCCACCUGGGGAGUACGACCGCAAGGUUGAAACUCAAAGGAAUUGACGGGGGCCCGCACAAAGCGGUGGAGCAUGUGGUUUAAUUCGAAGCAACGCGAAGAACCUUACCAAGGCUUGACAUCCCGAUGACAGGUGUAGAGAUACGCUUUCCCUUCGGGGCAUUGGUGACAGGUGGUGCAUGGUUGUCGUCAGCUCGUGUCGUGAGAUGUUGGGUUAAGUCCCGCAACGAGCGCAACCCUUACCCUUAGUAGCCAUCAUUAAGUUGGGCACUCUAGGGGGACUGCCGUGGAUAACACGGAGGAAGGUGGGGAUGACGUCAAAUCAUUAUGCCCCUUAUGUCUUGGGCUACACACGUGCUACAAUGGCUGGCAACAAAGUGAAGCGAGACGGCGACGUUAAGCAAAUCACAAAAACCCAGUCCCAGUUCGGAUUGCAGUCUGCAACUCGACUGCAUGAAGCUGGAAUCGCUAGUAAUCGCGAAUCAGAAUGUCGCGGUGAAUACGUUCCCGGGCCUUGCACACACCGCCCGUCA